AGCAGAACCAGAAAGAUUGUCUUUUUCAUUCCACACUUCCUUGUCAAAACCUGGUGCCUACAUUACCCACAAUGCAACAGGAUAGCUAACAGUUUGGUCGUAGAUUUAGGUGUGUUAUGCUAGUAGCCUUUAGCCUGCAGCACAGAUGGGCAGCGGGCUACAGAGGUCUGGUGAGUCCACUCCACACCAACAGAUUUGUUUCAGUUUCAGACUUGCAGUCUUCAACCUUCAACGCUGACUCGAGUGACAUCACUUUAUCAGACUUCACGCAGCUUCCUUUUUUUCAAAUAUGCAGUAGUACUCCACAACACUUGGAACCGGGCACUGAUGUACGUUCCUCUUUCAGUUUCAGAGGCUCUAAAUCAAUAACGCACGUUUUGCAAUUGGAUUACAGUUAGGUGUUUACCUGCGCUUAAAUAGUUGGGUUGCUUUCUGCAGUUACUUGAUUUCUUAACAUUACGUGAAAAAGAAAUCUGAUUUUCAUGAGCAGGGUGGGGGAUGAGAGAAAUCUGAUUCCCGGCUGGAUUCUUCUGGAGAAAGUCGACCUCUUGGCCACGUAUACAUGAAAGUUCCCGGAUGUCACUGACCUGCGUGACCAGGAACUUUGUGAGGCGUUCGGGCAGUCGGCUCUUCUCACUGGAUAAAAUCAUCUCCAACAUGUCCCCGUGUAGCUUCUCCAUGACGACGAAUACCUGCUCGGGCGUCUCGAACAUGCACUCCAGCUGUGUCGUACCUGGAGAAUGGCCACCUCAUUCCUCAGCUGGCUCUCCUGCUUGGUGGGAAACCUCAUUUUGUCGAUGAUUUUGAUCGCCACAUCUCUGCCGGUCUUCCUGUGUUUACCUGCAGAGGACGAGAGGGACGGGAUAACAUUUUAGCUCUCUACUGACAGCUUUAUUAUUCUGUAAUUCAAAUAGAGUGAUGUGUGGGAAUCAGCUGGGAUAAAAGAGAAACCUGAUGAUGACCCACAGAACCAGCAAUCUAUAUUUCAGAGACGGAUCAUUAUAUCUCAAAUAAAAUGCUGUGAGCCCCUUUCUGGCAGAUCUAGCUGGUGACGUGAUCACAUCAGGCUAUGAUUUUACAUUUUCUGCCAUGUGACUCACCUCCAUAAACAAUCCCAAACUGUCCGGAGCCGAGGACUUCGUCUGCAAAGAUCUGAUACACUGAACUGAUAUCCUGGAAAAACAAAGAGACCAGACAGGAUUCACAUAACGUCAAAUUAAGCUAUUAAAAACAAUGAAUGGGUAAAUCAGACAUUCUGCUCUGUGACACUAGAAUAUGAAGAUUAUGUCUUCCACAAAGUGAAUUUGGAGGCCCACAAGUGGCACAUAAAUACAUUUCAGUAGUAAAGUAGGUAAAUGGGGCAAAACAUUGAUGGUUAGCCACAUUUUUAGGCGUCCAUGGUGAAGUGUUAUAAAGAAUUAUAACAUGUUAACAUGUACACGUGCUAACAAGUGGGACAUGCUAAACAGCAGCAAUACACAACAGUUUCAUUUUAACAUGCUAACUAUGGGCAUGUUAACAUGCUAUGUAAGUAUGCUAAUGUUAAGGUGUGUUCAGCAGUGAUGCAGGAAGUAUUCUGAACCUUUACUUCAGUACAAUUACUAACACCACUCUGUAAAAAUACUCUUAUUCUACUUAAAAUUGAGCAUUGAAAAUGUUACUUAGGUAAAAAUAAUUAAGUAAUAAAGUACUCAUGCAGAAAAAUGUACCCUGUGUUAGUGUAUUAUAUAAUUUGAUUUUAAUUAUUCAUGCAUUUUUAGAA